AACGACUCUCGGCAACGGAUAUCUUGGCUCUCGCAUCGAUGAAGAACGUAGCGAAAUGCGAUACUUGGUGUGAAUUGCAGAAUCCCGUGAACCAUCGAGUCUUUGAACGCAAGUUGCGCCCGAGGCUUUUGGCCGAGGGCACGUCUGCCUGGGCG
rnacentral:rRNA from 1 species